UGACGACCAGGCUGGUCUGAGUGCCCGAAAGAGGCAGUGUGGGGAGGAGCAGGACAAGAUAACUAAAGAUAAGGAGAGACACGAGGAGCAACUUGCAGUUCUAGAGCGUCACGCGCGCGCUGAGAAACUCGAGAAGGAGAAGCUGGAAGAGAAGAUGGGGCAGACACCAGAUAAUAAUAGGAUCACCUGUCCAGGCAAUCUUGGAACAGGUUCACAGCAUGUUAAUGAAGGUAGCAGUCUAAGCGCCCCAUUCCCUCAGCGUACCUAAAAAUGCAAUACUUUAUAGACUUGGCGGACCUCUUCCCAGGGCCUCAGCCGUAGCUGCAAACGGAAAACAAAAUAUACGCAAGAACAAGUGUAAUACGUCAAACAGUGUCGUCGUCGUCGAACCUGGUCGAACGAGUUAAAGACCGGGUGAUUCGAAACAUUUGACAUUUCGUUAGGAAACAAAUGACUGCACCGCGUUUGCCCUAAAUAUUUGCAUGAGCCCCAUACGGCACUUCCCCUAGACCUUGUAAUUACUGACUUUUCCAUCGAAUAUUUGCAACAGCAAGGUUAGGGGCCCUGUAUCUUCCGGUGGAUUUUCGCAACAACAGGUUAUACUGAAAAAAUAGCUAUGAAGCAAGCGAUCUGGUGAAGAUGAUGCAUAAUGUAAGCCCCCGGGACUUCCCUUAUAGUCUCGGGGUUUUACAUUAUACUGCUUAACCAGGGUGAGGCAACUCCUGAAUUUUCCGUUUGAUAUUCGUGGCAGCGGCGUAUGCUGUCCGGUUACCUUUCGAAAGUUCCUCAAUAUUGGCAGGUGCGUAG